CUGGUGUACUGCUUUUGUCUUAUUAUUAGGGUGAUCUUAUUAAUAAUGACAGAAAGAAGUUUCUGUGCUCAUCUGUGGAAUCUGAUUAUCUGUCAGCUCUCUCCCCUGCACUGUUAUACAGAAGCUCUUCUACCUUUUGUCUUUCAUUUCCAUUUGCCCAUUCCAUGGCUCCCGAAGAAAUGGCCUUGGAUCACUGUAAAAAUACCAGAGACUCUAGAGUAAAAUAACUCAGUCUAGAAUAGGCUGAAACGUAUUGUUUGUAUCAGUCGUCUAGGCAGUGGAAAUAUUUACAAAGCAAAUUAUGCCUGUAGACAGUGUUCAUCCAUUUGUAGUGCUGUUCCAUGCAAUAAAGAAAAUGGUUUUCUUAAAUGCCUCCUGCACCCAGGGCUCUCUAGGUUGCAAGUAGAAAGAAACAGUGCAACUCAAAAGCCUGGGAGUUUCAUAAAGUUUGGUUUAUGAACCUAAAAAGCAAAGAGGCACAGUGCUUGGGCCGACAAAUACUGAUCUGGCUUAGCAGGGCCACUGAAUGGCCUCGUUUCUUUUCUCCAUCUGCUUAGCUUUCCAUGGUGUUAGCCUUAUUCUGAGAGUCUCCCCUUGUGAUCCUAAAAGUGGCUUCUGGGGGCCAUAGUACCAUAGGUACCACGGUUCUCAGCAUCUGCAGGUGAAGCUCUGUCAAGCGUUCCCGCCGGGUCUGCUCAGGUCCUGUGCCCAGGACAGAGAGCAGGGGGGUCAAGGGAAUGGGCUGUGCCAGCUGCCGUAACCCGGAUCAUGGAUAUCACCGCUGGAGCUAGAUGGAAUCUCCACGGGAUAAUGGGGACUCCCAGUCAACGGAGGCCUUCCUGCUCAUUCUGGAUGGUUGGUCAGGAUUCCUGUUUGUGAACUCUUCGUUCCGUUAGUAACCCAUCUUAAACUCACAAAUGAGUCUCUGUUAAAACAGUACAUGGCACUUGGUUUUCAUAUUGCUCUGUCCUCCGCAUCCAGAUUCUCAGUCUUCCUUCCCAAGUCGCAGCGCUUCCAGGCCUCCUGUCUCCUGUGCCUCUCGAAGAGCCUCCCGGUCACAGGCACUCCCUGCCACAGGGGUUUGGCCAGGGCUCCUCACUUGUGUUGUGACCGAAGGGUACCAAAGUACUGGUGGAUUGAAGCAAUGGGUCCAUAGUCCUGUCCCUGCCCAGACUCCCCUGAGGCUAGUUUCCUUCCUGCUACAGAGAGGAUGGCCAAUUCGGUCAUCUUUGCUGUCCUCAUUGAAAUAACACCUGGAGCUAAGAGCCGGUGAGCACUAAGCACCUGGUAGGCACUGUUCUGAGCUUUGUGUGUGCUGUGACUGGCUCUUCCCCUAACACCCUGUGACUUCUGUGGUCUCCAGGGAACUCAGCUAGCAAGGAGCACAGCUGGGGUUUGAACUCAAGAAUUCUGGUUCCACCGUACUAUACCACUUCCUAGUGAUUGGAUCUUAGUUAAUUUUUAGUUUUGAGGGACUGUCUUAUCCGAAAUUGAGAGCUUAUAUUGAUUUUGAUGGGUACUUGAGGGAAGAGAGAGGUGGUUAAUCAUUUCAAAUAUACUGUUGCCACAUGUUAGUGGUGAAAAACCACUGCGUGUGGCCGUGUCCUCCUGACCAAAAAACCCCGGAAUAGUAGGAAGCUGUCACUCCCACCAGAGGCAGCCGUUUGGGACUUACUUUUAAUUACUCACUGAGCCUGCUUCAACAAACCCAACUGUGCAUGAAAUUAGCGGGUUUUGGGGGAGGCAGGGAGAGGAUAUGUUGAGUCCAGUUGACUUUUCCAAGUUAUUAAUAGAACAUAAAAUAGAAGAAUCCAAACUUCCCGAACAGAUAAAGCAGAGGAUAAUUAGCGAGAGUGGAAAAUGAUUCUUUUACUGAACAGUUCGUCAUACAUUUCCUAAUCCUGGGCGUCCUCAGAGUAUUUACAAGAGGGAUUUGAUGUAGAUAAGCUUCAUCUGGAUGAGGUUGAAGACAGAAAUGGAGUUUACAAGCAGGAGUCUGCAGUCAUAAUUAUUUGAAACUGAAUACGAGAAGAUAGAGGCAUGGGGUUGUCAGGGAGAGGUCUCUGUGCUGUUGAUGACUCAUCUUCACCUGGGUCAGACUAAAAACAGCCUUCACCUCCAGUGUUCAUACUCUGCAUCCACCCCCGUGAUCCCACCGGAGGUGGGAGCCCAGCCCUGCCAGGAGGGAAGAUGAGCAUGUAAUUUGGAGACGAGAAGAAGUGGGGUAUGUGUUCUCGGGGUGAGCCAGUCUUAAAACUCAGUUCUGCUACCACAGAACACAGCAAGCUUUUGGAAACCCCGAGUUCCAGCAGAACAUGGAGGAAAGUUAGAGCCACAGCACGUUAAUACAUCUGUAUCAUGAUCCACAACUAAUGGAGGAAACUGGGUAGAAACUUGACCCAGAAGUGUCUGAUGCACAUGCUGUCAGGGGCAGAAGGGUCUGGAAAGGGAGCAGAGAAGAUGAAGUGGCCAGGCCUGAACAGGUGGUGGGGUUUGGGUCGACAGAGCUGAGAAGAAAGGCCAGGGGGAGGGCUAGAGCCAAGACACAGCCAUACCAGGGAUAGUCAGGGAAUUCGAAGAGGAGAUGGAGGGACAGGAAUGAGACUGGCCAGGUCUGUGGGCCAAAGGAAGCAGUGUAGAUGCACAAGACCAAUUAACUGCUGUCCCUGUGGAAGUGUCUGGAGCAGCGAGUGAUCUGGUAAGAUCCCUGGAAAGGGGUAUUUUAUCUUACAAAGCAGUCCGUCCACUUACCUCCUGGUAGAGCGAGGGGGGAUGAGUAGUACAAGCU
rnacentral:lncRNA from 1 species